rnacentral:tRNA from 1 species
GCCAGUGUGGUACAGUGGUUUGAGCACUGGACUGUGACCCUGGAGACCAGGGUUCAAUUCCCACUUGGCC